AACGUAGGACGCAAGCGUUAUCCGGAGUUACUGGGCGUAAAGCGCGGGCAGGCGGUCUUGCCAGUCUGAUGUGAAAUCUCCUCGCUCAACGGGGAGCAGCCAUUGGAAACUACAAGACUGGAGUCUGGCAGAGGUAGGCGGAAUUCCGGGUGGAGUGGUGAAAUGCGUAGAGAUCCGGAGGAACACCAGAGGCGAAGGCGGCCUACUGGGCCAGUACUGACGCUGAGCCGCGAAAGCCAGGGGA
rnacentral:rRNA from 1 species